GUAAAACGUUUGCAUUUUCUAUGACUUUAUAGUUAUUGUUCAAGUAUUAAUCUUCCAAUCUUUCAAUAACACAUAAUUCUCAAAAUGUCAUUUCAAAUUUCCCGUCAACUUUUAACAUUUUUUAAUAAAAAACAUGACCAGCUACAGGAUGACUGUCAUAAAACUCAACCACCGGCCUUACCAUGUUUUCUGGGGGAUGCCCUGCAAGCACAAUGCAUGCUAAUAUUUAUUUAUCACAUACCAGAAAAAACAGCUACCUUCUGUUUAUUCAUAGUCAUGGUUGUAUUUUCUGUCUUUGUUUUAGGUUCAGUGUCAAGAAGAGGUAUGUGUAGCAUCUCUUAAACAUUGAGCUAUACGGCAAGAUCUAAGAAAAUAUCUGUUUGUCCUGAAUAUUAUUUUUUUAUAUGCUCUGCUUUUUUUUUCAUUUCAUGAUAAGAGAGAACAUAUAUCUCGGAGGAAGCGAAGGUCUUCCUCCAGAAAGCCUAUAAAGAAGGGAUGACCAGGGUGGGAUCUCCACUGGUUGGAGCGGCAUCCCAGGCCACUGGCUUGCCACCGUUUGUCAUUGAUAACUGGAUUGGAAACUAUAGGAGAAAAAAAACAUCUUCUUCUCAACCUAAAAACAAGAAGUUAUACACCAAGGACCUGUCUGGUUACAACCUGUUCUGCAGGGAUCUGUUAAA